CACGUAGGGUGCAAGCGUUGUCCGGAAUUAUUGGGCGUAAAGAGCUCGUAGGCGGUUUGUCGCGUCGAAUGUGAAAACCCGGGGCUCAACCCCGGGCCUGCAUUCGAUACGGGCAGACUAGAGUUCGGUAGGGGAGUCUGGAAUUCCUGGUGUAGCGGUGAAAUGCGCAGAUAUCAGGAGGAACACCGGUGGCGAAGGCGGGACUCUGGGCCGAUACUGACGCUGAGGAGCGAAAGCGUGGGGAGCAAACAGG
rnacentral:rRNA from 1 species